rnacentral:lncRNA from 1 species
CCCAAACGUCUACUAUAAGUAAAUUCCAUUCGAGCCUCUGCUGUGAACAAAAUUUUUCUGAACUUCUGUUGCAGGUAGACUUUAGCUAAGCUACUCCGUAGCGAGGGGAUUCCGGACGAACUUCUACAACACUCUAAUUUUCCACGACAAUUGGUCCUCACCCAAGCUCCUACAACAAACGGCCCCCUUUUGACCUCUCGCGA